rnacentral:rRNA from 1 species
GGACUACCCGCUGAACUUAAGCAUAUCAAUAAGCGGAGGAAAAGAAACCAACCGGGAUUGCCUCAGUAACGGCGAGUGAAGCGGCAAAAGCUCAAAUUUGAAAUCUGCGUAAGCCGAGUUGUAAUUUGAAGAUGGCUACUUUGGUAAUGGCUCUUGUCUAUGUUCCUUGGAACAGGACGUCACAGAGGGUGAGAAUCCCGUGCGAUGAGAUGUCCAUUACCGUGUAAAGUGCUUUCGAAGAGUCGAGUUGUUUGGGAAUGCAGCUCUAAGUGGGUGGUAAAUUCCAUCUAAAGCUAAAUAUUGGCGAGAGACCGAUAGCGAACAAGUACAGUGAUGGAAAGAUGAAAAGAACUUUGAAAAGAGAGUGAAAAAGUACGUGAAAUUGUUGAAAGGGAAGGGCUUGAGAUCAGACUUGGUAUUUUGUAUGGCUUGCUUUCGGGCGGGUCCUCUGCAGUUUACUGGGCCAGCAUCGGUUUGGGUGGCAGGAUAAUAGCAUAGGAAUGUGGCUCUACUUCGGUGGAGUGUUAUAGCCUUUGUUGAUACUGCCUGCCUAGACCGAGGACUG